rnacentral:misc_RNA from 1 species
GAUGAAGAACGCAGCGAAAUGCGAUACUUGGUGUGAAUUGCAGAAUCCCGUGAACCAUCGAGUCUUUGAACGCAAGUUGCGCCCGAAGCCACUAGGCCGAGGGCACGCCUGCCUGGGCGGCACACGCCGUUGCCCCCCCAUCUACUCCUUCGGGAUUGCGGGGGGGCGGAUGAUGGCCUCCCGUGCGCCUAGCCGCGCGGUUGGCAUAAAUACCAAGUCCUCGGCGACGCACGCCACGACAAUCGGUGGUUGCGAAACCUCGGUUGCCCGUCGUGUGCGUUCGUCGCGCAUCGAGGGCUCGAAAAAAUGCUCGGCUCCGGCUGGGCUUUCAACGCGACCCCAGGUCAGGCGGGGUUACCCGCUGAAUUUAAGCAUAUCAAUAAGCGGAGGA